rnacentral:rRNA from 1 species
GAUGAACGCUGGCGGCGUGCCUAAUACAUGCAAGUCGAGCGAACGGACGAGAAUCUUGCUUCUCUGAUGUUAGCGGCGCACGUGUGUGUCACGCGUGUAUCACCUCCCUAUAUGAGGGGGAUCACUUCGGGACACCGGCGCUAAUACCGGAUAAUAUCUUGCACCGCAUGGUUGAAAAGUGAGAGUCGGUGUUGCUGUCUCUUAUAGCUGGUUCUCGGCUGCUUUAGCUGGUUGUGAAGGUAACGGCUUACCACGGCGACGAUGCAUAGACGACCUGAGAGGGGGAUAGGCGACAUGGGAACGUAGACACGGUCCAGGGUCCUGAGGUAGGCAGCAGUAGGGAAUCUUCCGCAACGGGCGAAAGUCUGACGGAGCAACGCCGCGUGAGUGAUGACGGUGUCCGGAGCGGAAUACUCGGUUUUGGGUGAAGAACAGAUGUGUAAGUAACUGUACACAUAGUGACGGUACCGAGUAAGAAAGCCCCGGCUAACUACGUG